rnacentral:rRNA from 1 species
GACGAACGCUGGCGGCGUGCUUAACACAUGCAAGUCGAACGGAAAGGCCCUGCUUUUGUGGGGUGCUCGAGUGGCGAACGGGUGAGUAACACGUGAGUAACCUGCCCUUGACUUUGGGAUAACUUCAGGAAACUGGGGCUAAUACCGGAUAGGAGCUCCUGCUGCAUGGUGGGGGUUGGAAAGUUUCGGCGGUUGGGGAUGGACUCGCGGCUUAUCAGCUUGUUGGUGGGGUAGUGGCUUACCAAGGCUUUGAUGGGUAGCCGGCCUGAGAGGGUGACCGGCCACAUUGGGACUGAGAUACGGCCCAGACUCCUACGGGAGGCAGAAGUGGGGAAUAGUGCACAAUGGGCGGAAGCCUGAUGCAGCAACGCCGCGUGCGGGAUGACGGCCUUCGGGUUGUAAACCGCUUUCGCCUGUGACGAAGCGUGAGUGACGGUAAUGGGUAAAGAAGCACCGGCUAACUACGUG